rnacentral:lncRNA from 1 species
GCCUGUUGAGAAAUGUUGGCAACCCAUGGAUUAUCUGCCGGAACCUGAAUCGGAAGGAUUUUAUGAGCAAGUCAAGGAGUUGAGAGAAAGAUGCAAGGAAAUCCCUGAUGACUAUUUUGUGGUAUUGGUUGGAGAUAUGAUCACAGAAGAAGCCCUUCCUACUUACCAGACAAUGCUGAACACCCUAGACGGGGUUCGAGAUGAGACUGGUGCAAGCCUCACUUCUUGGGCAAUUUGGACUAGGGCUUGGACUGCUGAAGAAAACAGGCAUGGCGACCUUCUCAAUAAGUAUCUCUACCUAUCUGGACGUGUAGACAUGAAGCAAAUUGAGAAGACAAUUCAAUACCUGAUAGGAUCAGGAAUGGUGAGAUUCUCCUUUCCUAUUACUAAAUUCUAUAUAAGAGGACAAGCUUCUUCUGUUGUCUAUGCUGUGCACUUGAUUUUUCAGUAUUUAUGAGUUUGUUGUUUUCUUAGGAUCCUAAAACAGAAAACAACCCCUACCUUGGUUUCAUCUACACUUCAUUCCAAGAGAGGGCAACAUUUAUCUCCCAUGGGAACACAGCCAGACAUGCCAAGGAUUAUGGAGACUUGAAACUUGCACAGAUAUGUGGCAUCAUUGCCUCUGAUGAGAAACGCCAUGAAACUGCCUACACCAAGAUUGUGGAGAAGCUCUUUGAAAUUGAUCCAGAUGGCACUGUCAUGGCUUUAGCUGAUAUGAUGAAGAAGAAAAUAUCAAUGCCCGCCCAUUUAAUGUAUGAUGGCCGGGAUGAUAACCUAUUUGAACACUUCUCAACAGUUGCCCAGCGGCUCGGAGUCUACACUGCAAAGGACUAUGCUGACAUUUUGGAAUUUCUGGUGGGUAGAUGGAACAUAGAAAAGUUGACGGGUCUUUCGGGAGAGGGCCGUAAAGCUCAAGAUUUUGUUUGUGGUUUGCCUCCAAGAAUUAGAAGGUUGGAGGAGAGAGCUCAGGGAAGGGCCAAGCAAGCAUCCGCUGUACCGUUCAGCUGGGUGUUCGGCAG